AGUGAACGCUGGCGGUAGGCCUAACACAUGCAAGUCGAACGGCAGCACAGUAAGAGCUUGCUCUUACGGGUGGCGAGUGGCGGACGGGUGAGGAAUACAUCGGAAUCUACUUUUUCGUGGGGGAUAACGUAGGGAAACUUACGCUAAUACCGCAUACGACCUACGGGUGAAAGCAGGGGAUCUUCGGACCUUGCGCGAUUGAAUGAGCCGAUGUCGGAUCAGCUAGUUGGCGGGGUAAAGGCCCACCAAGGCGACGAUCCGUAGCUGGUCUGAGAGGAUGAUCAGCCACACUGGAACUGAGACACGGUCCAGACUCCUACGGGAGGCAGCAGUGGGGAAUAUUGGACAAUGGGCGCAAGCCUGAUCCAGCCAUACCGCGUGGGUGAAGAAGGCCUUCGGGUUGUAAAGCCCUUUUGUUGGGAAAGAAAAGCAGCAGGUUAAUACCCCGCUGUUCUGACGGUACCCAAAGAAUAAGCACCGGCUAACUUCGU
rnacentral:rRNA from 1 species